CAGCAACACUGAUGAAGUAUGAGGACACCGCUUUCACUGUCCCCUACUCGAUGAGCGUGGUUUUCGACCGACAGGAGGUGUCCCUGAAUCUGAAUCUGACCAAACUUCAGGGACCUUCCUCCUCAAUGGGCAUCUUUCCUCUUACGCUGGGACCGACUCAGUUUGUUCUGACCAAACAUAAAUCAUGAUUUAUGCUAAUGUGAGUGUGGAGUUGAUGUAACAAUAUCUAAUACUCACUAAAAACUUGACCAGAAAGGAAAAUUAGUUACUUUGGCAAAAUAAAUGUCUUAAAGAGGCGGGGUUUAAUCUGGAGUGGUAUGAUGUGACUACUGAAAAGGACCACGUUUAGGCAGGAAAUGGCCAUAUUUUUGCUAGUAGCACUGUUUAAAAUGAAUUUAAUAAACAUCUGUACCAUCAUUCCUCAUAAAGUUAUAUUUUGUGUUCAAUAAAUAAAAAAAUCUCAGUCUUACAUUUUACUUCUUCUGUGUUUAAUUUUUUCUAUAGUGUCUGACGUGACAUUUAUGGUAUUAGACACUAAAAAUAACAGCGCUAAACCUGUAAGACAGUUUUGUGUUGAGUUAAAGCUGAGUUAUUCUUAUCAGCAUAACAAAAUCCUCGUCCUGACGUGCAACUAUUGUCACUCCUCCUUUACGGCCUCUGGUUUAUCCAGUUUAACAUCAUUCUGUUACUGCUGAAAAUUGGCACCUUAACUCCCGUAGAUUGUUGUUGGACAGACAUUCACUGAAAACUCUGGAGUUUACAAUCAGUAAAGACCAGUGUCGGGUGGAGUAACUGAACGGCAGGUUCACACCUCAGAUUCAAGAGAAUAGGUGAGUGGUUCCACAACACCUUCGUGGCCCCAUUGACCCAGACGCCAAACAGACGCCUGUUUCACACAGCGCUGACACAUUAUGUGGGAGUGUGACUGAGGAUCUGAGAUGCUGCACAGACCCACUCUGAGCGUCCUCCUGCAGGGCCUGAUUCUGAUCAGGUUCAGCCCGACCGGCGAUGCCUCUUCUCUGGGGAUGACGGUCCACGUUGUGCCUCUGAACAGCAAUAAAGGAAACACAGUUCGGGCUCAUUUCAGUGCCAUCUCUCCUGGUUCUUGUACAUCAUUGUCUGGACUCUGUGCAAACGGCGAGGACUGUCUGAUCCACAAACCCCUAAUUCCUUUCAAAGGAAGUAAACCUGGCUCUGGCUGGUGUGUUCAUCAGUGGCAGAAAACAGUACCGGCUGAUUACAGUGGCACAAUCCAGCUGGGGUCCAACACAGAUUUUUAUGUAAAAUUAAAAGCAGCACCGGUGAUUCGAGGCCACAGCGGGAGACUCAACCAACCGGCCUACGCUGCUCUCCCUCCUCCACUCAGAGCCCGGGUGAACUGCCCCCACCACUUCCCCCUGUCGGUUAAAGACAUGGACAGGGACAGGGUCCGAUGUCGCUUUGCCAGAGCUGAACUGGGAGAGUGCGUUGACUGUGAUCGACACACAUUUAUAGAACUGGACAAGGACAAAUGUAUGUUGACGUUUACUGGAAACGCUGCAGCAGGGCAGUAUUUCAUCUUCCUCAUGGUGGAGGACGUCGUUCCUGUGCCCAGAAUAAGCCAAGUUACGAUCAACACACCCCUCAGUGCCGUCCCUGUUCACCUGUCACUCACUGUGGAGGAGCGGUCGACUACCACCUGCACUGAUGAACCUGUGGCUGCAGGCGAAACCCCCGAAGAGCACAAAACCCUGUACGUCUUGCCGUUCCAGGAGGUGAAAUUCAUCAUUUAUUAUGAGUCACAGUUGCAGAGUGUUUCGGAGGUAGCUGUUAUCGGGCCCCCUAACCUUUUCAGAGUUGGCUUCACAUCAGUUGGGCCCCUGGCAACCAUAAAGAUCGGCUGGGUCCGCUCUGAAAAUAAACUGGCCCGUCUUCUGCCCGUCUGCUUUGUGGCAAAUACCAAUAAUUUGCAGUCAGAGCCCAGAUGUGUGUGGUUGUACCAAAGGGAAAUGGUGUCACUUCCUACUGGGACAGAGCUGACAUGUGGAAAGACGCAGAUGACUCUGGUUCUACCCAUCGGGUCUUUGACUAACAUCAACGUGGCUGAACUGCAGCUCAACAGCCCCACUUGUCCGGUUACCUACAACAAAACACACCUGACGGCAACCAUCCCCCUGAACGGCUGUGGCACUAAGGCUGUGCACUCCGAGUCAGAGCUGAUUUACACCAACACCUUGCACACUGUGCGUACCUACACCAGGGUGAUCCGCCGGAUGCCCACCCUCGUCCUACCUCUGGCCUGUCGGAUUCGUGGCGUCAAUGUCACAGGACCAAAUUACAAAAUUGGAAUGCCCACAGAGAGGCAGACCUUUGGUGAAUUUGAUUUCAGGAUAGAAUUUUACUUGCCAGGAGAAGGACCCCUGCAAAAUUUUACGCGCGUUCCCAGGUUUCGCAAUAUCGGCAUACAUCCUAAUCGAGUGCGUCGAGAAGCAGCAUCCUCCAACGAAACCACCUCUAACAGUAGCUCUACCAGUGCAGCCAUCGGAUCCAGGAUCAGCCAGUUGGACCUCCAUCUGAUGUCCAACUGCUCCGUGGCUCGAGCUGAGAUCUUAGUGAGCAGUUGCAUAGAAUCUGAGACCGCAGACUUUGCUGUAUACCAAACAAUUCUGCAGCAAGGGUGUGCAUCCAACAAUGACACCUUAGAGAUUGUUACAACAACCCCCACCUUCAAAGUCUACCGCCUUAAUCUGACUGAUCUGGACACCCAUGGAUCAAAAAUGAUGUACGUCCGGUGUACAGUCUACCUGUGCAUUGCUACUAUGCCAUCUCAGAGAUGCCCUGAGCUGUGUUCUCGUGCAGUCGGUCAGAGAACAGCAAUGGUCUCCAGUGUGUUCAGCAAAGGCUACACCAUCACAUCAGGACCCGUCAGCCUUGUGGUCACCACUCCUGCACCAACCACUAAAACUACUACUACUGCAACUACAGCAACUACAGCUGUGACUACAGACAUCACAACAACACACACCACCAGCUCACAUGCUCCAGAAAAAGCCUCAUCUGUGGCUGUGGGAGUAACUGUGGUGACCAUCUGCAUAUUUCUGCAAAACAUCUUCUUUCCCUGAAAAAAUUUGAAGAUAAAAUGGAAAUACAUGCAUCUCACUAGUUAUUUCACUGUCAGUUUUCAGUUGUAUUUAGUUUUAUUUACUAUCACAUAUGAAAAAAUACUAAAAUAAUGUAUUUUUUAUCAUGAUAAUGUGUCACUAUUAUGUAUCUGUAUCAUAUGGGAAGUAAAUAAUCAAUUUAAUGUCAUUUAGAUAAGGAUGAUAAGAAAAUGUCUAAUGUCAUAUCCACGUAUCCAUGAAUAAAUAUUAAAUGACAUAUGUGGGACUAUAAAAGCAUAUUGCUGAUUUUUCCUUGCAACACACCUCAACUCUCUUUCUGUUGACAGUAACACUGAAGCAAGAAAUCUGGGUGUAAUUAUCAAUAGUGAUCUAAAAGUCAAACGUCACAUCAACCACAUUACAAUAGUAUCAUUCUAUCAUCUCAAAAACAUUUCCAGAGUAAAGGGCUUUCUGUCAAAAUCAGACUCUGAAAAACUAAUCCAUGCAUUCAUAAACAAGCAGACUAGAUUACUAUAAUGGUUUAUUCACUGGACUCCCAAAGUCAAGUAUUCACAGGUUACAACUCAUUCAAAAUGCAGCUGCACGUAUUCUCACUGGUACCGAGAAAUAUCAACACAUCACACCUUCUUAAAUCCCUGCACUGGCCACUCGUUAAAACAAGAAUCAGAUCACAAUUUCAAAAUCCUGCUCCUGGUUUACAGAGCAAUGCACGGCCUUGCACCUCAGUACAUCACAGAUAUACUCCUCACUUACACCCCAGCAAGAACACUUCAGUCAGCAGGCAGUGGCAACUUACUCAUCCUUCACACCAGAUCCAAGAAAGGGGAGGCAGCUUUUAGUGUAUAUGCUCCACAAAAAUGGAACACCCUGCCUGAUACAAUUAGACUUGCCACAUCAGUAGCCAUUUUUAAAAACAGGUUAAAAACAUACCUGUUUUCAACAGCAUUCUGUUGAGUUGUGUGUGUGCAUGUGUGGUUGUGUGGGUAUGUGCACAUGUGUGAGUUUAAGUGUGUAUACAUAUGAUUGUUUACUCGCACUCUCUUUUUUAUGACUGUUUUUUUAUGUAAUAUACCUGUUGAGAAGCAUAUUGAGUCUGCCUUGUGCAUGAAAUGUGCUUUAUAAAUAAAGUUGAAUUGAACUGAAU
ensembl:lncRNA